UACGUAGGGGGGCAAGCGUUGUCCGGAUUUAUUGGGCGUAAAGAGCGUGUAGGCGGUUUGGUAGGUCCGCUGUGAAAAACUCGGAGCUCAACCUCGAGACGCCGGUGGAAACCAUCAGACUAGAGUCCGGAAGAGGAUGGUGGAAUUCCCGGUGUAGCGGUGAAAUGCGUAGAGAUCGGGAGGAACACCAGUGGCGAAGGCGGCCAUCUGGAUCAACACUGACGCUGAGGCACGAAAGCGUGGGGAGCAAACAGG
rnacentral:rRNA from 1 species